rnacentral:rRNA from 1 species
CGGCGGACGGGUGAGUAACACGUGGGUAACCUACCUAUAAGACUGGGACAACUUCGGGAAACCGGAGCUAAUACCGGAUAAGAUAUCGAACCGCAUGGUUCGAUAGUGAAAGAUGGUUUUGCUAUCACUUAUAGAUGGACCCGCGCCGUAUUAGCUAGUUGGUGAGGUAACGGCUCACCAAGGCAACGAUACGUAGCCGACCUGAGAGGGUGAUCGGCCACACUGGAACUGAGACACGGUCCAGACUCCUACGGGAGGCAGCAGU